rnacentral:rRNA from 1 species
CCUACGGGAGGCAGCAGUGAGGAAUAUUGGUCAAUGGACGAGAGUCUGAACCAGCCAAGUAGCGUGAAGGAUGACUGCCCUAUGGGUUGUAAACUUCUUUUAUAAAGGAAUAAAACGAGGCACGUGUGCCUUUUUGCAUGUACUUUAUGAAUAAGAAUCGGCUAAAUCCGUGCCAGCAGCCGCGGUAAUACGGAGGAUCCGAGCGUUAUCCGGAUUUCUUGGGUUUAAAGGGAGCGUAGAUGGGUUGUUAAGUCAGUUGUGAAAGUUUGCGGCUCAACCGUAAAAUUGCAAUUGAUACUGGCAGUCUUGAGUACAGUUGAGGUAGGCGGAAUUCGUGGUGUAGCGGUGAAAUGCUUAGAUAUCACGAAGAACCCCGAUUGCGAAGGCAGCUUACUAAGCUGUGACUGACAGUGAUGCUCGAAAGUGUGGGUAUCAAACAGGAUUAGAUACCCUUGUAGUC